rfam:Meleagris gallopavo isolate NT-WF06-2002-E0010 breed Aviagen turkey brand Nicholas breeding stock chromosome 1, whole genome shotgun sequence.
CCAACGGCUCUUUUAAGAGCCUCCCAAAGUUUCUCAAAAAGAGCUG